UGGGGAAUAUUGGACAGUGGGGGGAACCCUGAUCCAGCCAUGCCGCGUGUGUGAAGAAGGCCUUAUGGUUGUAAAGCACUUUAAGCGAGGAGGAGGGUACUGGUAUUAAUACUACCAGGUACUGGACGUUACUCGCAGAAUAAGCACCGGCUAACUCUGUGCCAGCAGCCGCGGUAAUACAGAGGGUGCGAGCGUUAAUCGGAUUUACUGGGCGUAAAGCGUGCGUAGGCGGCUAAUUGAGUCGGAUGUGAAAUCCCCGAGCUUAACUUGGGAAUUGCAUUCGAUACUGGUUAGCUAGAGUGUGGGAGAGGAUGGUAGAAUUCCAGGUGUAGCGGUGAAAUGCGUAGAGAUCUGGAGGAAUACCGAUGGCGAAGGCAGCCAUCUGGCCUAACACUGACGCUGAGGUACGAAAGCAUGGGGAGCAAACAGG
rnacentral:rRNA from 1 species